CAGGGGAUGUCAGCACUGAGAUGCAAUGUUUCAGGAGAGUCUGCUCCCCAGCAAGCUGCUUAAAUCCCUCUGCAGAGCUGGAAAAUCCACAGUUAUUAUGGGCUCCCAGGGGCCAGAUCCUGAGAUGUGAAGCACUGACAGGUGGAUAAUAGAAAUGUUCUGGACAGUCAGAGGGCUGCUGGAGAUGACAUAUGAGAAGAAAAUCACUGCUGGAGUGCAUUUGAGGAGGGCUUACCUUCUGUGUAACAGCUGAGAUCAAAGAACCUUUACAUGUGCUUGCUUUUAAGCUUCUCUGAAUCCAGAGCUGGGCAGGGAGAGGCAAGAAGAAGAAGAGGCAACUCUGGAAGACUGGUUGAUCCAGUGCUGGAAAAGUGUUCCCAGGAAGCUGAUAAUACCUGUGAAAUUUGGUCCUACCAUGAAGAAAUGGUUGUUAGUAUGGCACUCCAUCCUUCAGUAAAUAUGUUCCAUGUGGAUAUUUAUAGUCCUGCCUGCUCCCUUCAGUGA
rnacentral:lncRNA from 1 species